AGGAGUGUCUUCUGUUGGGUUACUGGCUCUGGGAAGAUUGUGGCCAGAACCGAGAGCUUGAGCCUAUGAGGCCAUGCUCUGAAAUAAGAGUAAGAGCAAACUUAAUGGGCAUUAGGCUGAGCCCCUGCAAAAAAACCUAGAGGAAGGCAGCUGGGUGCAGGACUUGGAAAAGGAAGCCCAGAAAGCUCAAGGUACCAGGAAAGGCCCUAGAGGCAGAGAAACCUUGUGUAUGGACAGUUAAAUGCUAAGGUGGUGUUUCUCACUGCAGUGGAUCCAAAAGAGAUGGUGUUUUUCAUGGCAGUAGAGCCAAAGGAAGGUGGAGCUGAGAUUAAGGAAAUACUGAGAUUACAGGAGAUAAUGGGUUUUCACCAUGCCAAACUCAAGAUAGGGUUCAGUAAAGUACUGGGAAUUAAGCACUUGAGCUGAGAUUUCAUUGAGUGGCCUAUGUUGAAGAUCUUGGAUGAGGCCCUGUGGGUAUUAGAAACCUGUAGGAAAAGGGGCUGAAGAACUGAAAUGCUGAGUGUUGUUUUAGGAUUUAGGGCCUGAAGAUCCCUGGAAAGAGUGGACACUGUUAAGUUCCUAGCAAACACAGAGGAAAAUCAGAUAAAAAACAUAAAUACCUUUGCUGGCAGGCUGCAGUGUAACACGACUUUAUUUUUUAGGGUUCAGCAUGAGAGCACCCAAAAAACAGACAAAGCAGGCUGCUGUUUAAAGCAGAAAGGUACAACUUACCCCACCUCACUCUAGACUCCCUCUCUCCUAGGCCCUGAUCACAUGCUUUUCUAAAGAGUCACCCAGCCUGCAAGUAGGACUAGGAAACCUCUCUGAAAUUUUACAGUCAGCCUACCAUCUCAGUAUGGUUUUUAGUACACCACAGGAACAAAACGUGGCCUGCCUGAAGGCCCAAGUCGUGAGAAGAGGCAGACUACCACAAGAGCAGAGUGACUGGUGCCAGGUGCUGCUAGUGAAGGACAAUCUACUACGCUGGGGCAGUGCCUCUGGCACUGCAUUGACUGCUGAUUAAAUUCAAGAUUUCAGUUCUCAUCUUUGAAGACCCAUGUUACCAGAGGGAUUGUCUCACCCAUGUUAUCAUGGCCUCCCAUGACAGCAAUACUCCAGGGAGACAACAGGGCUGCCAACCUCAGAGUGAAACCCUGGGGGCAGGAGGUGGAGCUUUCUCAGUCCCUCGCCCACAAGCCUGAGACUCUCUCUCCCAGGCCCAUUCAACCUAAAUGAUAGCAUCUGCUGGGACUGGGGAAGCAGACAUGCAGAAUCCUCGCAAAUGGAAAUGCCAGGGAUGGAUCAGAUACCAGAUGCACAGGUGAUUCAGUCCCAACUCUUCUGCAGAUGAGAAGUUAGCCUGGUUGCUGAGCUGGCUGGUGGAAGGACAUCAUGGGGAGAGGCCAAGAUUUCCAAAAGCGAGAGUGGAAGUGGAAACAGUUGCAGGGUUAGGGGCUUUCAGGGUAUUUUUGUUCAACCUGGCCUUCAGAU